GGGAUUAGAUACCCCACUAUGCUUAGCCUUAAACCUAGAUGUUAAAUUUACAAGCAACAUCCGCCAGGGUACUACAAGCGCUAGCUUAAAACCCAAAGGACUUGACGGUGUCUCAGACCCACCUAGAGGAGCCUGUUCUAAAACCGAUAAUCCCCGUUAAACCUCACCACCCCUUGUUUAACCAGCCUAUAUACCGCCGUCGCAAGCUUACCCUGUGAAGGUCCCAUAGUAAGCAAAAUGGGUAUAUCCCAGAACGUCAGGUCGAGGUGUAGCUUAUGAGGUGGGAAGAAAUAGGCUACAUUUUCUACAUCAGAAUAAAACGAACAGCACUAUGAAAUUAGAGCUCGAAGGUGGAUUUAGUAGUAAAAAACAAAUAGAGAGUCUUUUUGAAAUAGGCUCUGAGACGCGUACACACCGCCCC
rnacentral:rRNA from 1 species